GCGAUUUCUUUCCAGCGCAUCUCCAGAGAUGGCUAGGCCCUGCUCUCCCUGGACACCCUGCUCUGUCCCAUCCUGAGGGACAGUGCCUAGAGCAGACUGGCCCAUGUCGUGUCCUUUCCCAAAGUCCAGAGGCAAGGAGACAGGCACUGACAGAGGCUGCUGGUCUGGCCGCCCUGAGAACCUGCGUUCCAUCUGGGCAAGCAGUGUGUCCCUCGCUAGUCCACGCCCAGAGCUCUGACUCCCAGGAUCCUAUUCCCCUGGAAGGACUUCCAGAAAGUCACUACCCCUGACAAGACUCAGAUCGGCUCCUGGACAUGAAUGACAGGGGUUUGUGACACCUCAGAAAUCGAGUACAAGCCUGUGUGUGCCUAGGUGUGCAUGAGCACACAGGGACUUUUCUAAGGAGUGGCCUCCAGCUCUCAUCAAGGAGGGAUGUGCCCCAAAAGGUUGGAAGCUCCCAUUCAUUCAUGUCCCUCAGCCCUCCCACUGUGGACAGCCCCCUGAACUCCAGGUCCCGUGGAGUCAGGAGAACUAGGGAGGGAAAUGUGAUCCCUCCUCACCCCCACCCCAAGCUGCCUGACCCUGCUGCACUGCCAGGUGCCUGAGAGUCCAUCUGCAAACAGCGCAGUCACCUACACCUUGCAAAGCAGAAUGGGCACUGACGGGAGUUCAGAGAGAGGUCUACUUCUCCCCGGAGUGGUUAAAGAAGUGGGGAGCCUAAAGUCUUCCAGUUGACCCUUGCAAUGCCAUUCUCUUUUGGAGGUGAGUCCUUCUUCCCCAAGCCCCUCCUGGAUCAGUGAGGACCAUCUAGAUUUUUGGACAGAAGACUGAGGAAGGGGCUUGAGGCUGAGGAGGCCUUCACUAUACUCUCCCCCUGGCCUCUGCAGAGCCCACACCUGGCAGUUCCUGUGUGUGAAUCCCAAGCAAUCCACACGUUCAGGUUUGAUUUGCCCUGUGGAGAAGCUUGGAGACCCCAGAGUGGAGGCAGUGAUGCCAAUGUCUACUUGAGUCAAGGAAGAUGGCAGCCAAAGAUUUCCAGCCACGAGCAAUGCUUCCUCCAAGAUGACCAGGCUGGGCUUUAUCCCGAGCUCCGUUCAAACCACACAGACAGCAAGCAGGGGUGUGGAGAUGCAGUCCACGCUGAGCUGGCCCUGGGGCCAGGCACCCUUCUGGAGGAGUCGGACAAGCCCCACAGUGAAGAAACUACCAGCCAGGGCUCUAGUCCCUGGGACCGAUCCCCACCCGUGCUGUCCGGUCCAUUUUGGCUUACUUUGCAGACGUGGUCACAGACGUACUAAGCCUUUCAAGGUGGCUUGGUAAGAAGAGUAGGCUUGGAUUGUGCGGAAUCAGAGUGAGGGGGUGGUGGCCCAGGUGAAAGGCUGGCUCCCAAAAAGAUGGGAAGUUUGAGUCUGUUUUCCACUGCCAAGAGUUUUGGAAACCUUGGGUUCAUCUAAGCCAGCACCCUGGAGAUCUGCCAGCACAGAGACCCUGGACCUUACAGGGGGUCCAGGACCUUACAGGACCCGACCCUGCAGGAGCCAGAGCCUUUCCCUGGGGUCCAAAAGAAGCUGAGGGAGAGGCACGGGUCCCUCAUCUGUGCCUGCGCCUGCGCACGUCAUUCUUGUCACGGCUCAUGGUCCAAAAGGCUCUGCAGCAAAGAUUCAUCUGUUUCAAUUUUCAUGGAAAUGAAGCAUUUUAUCUCAGAACACAGGGGGAAGAGUGAACUCCCAUUCCUUAAUGCAGAUGGACUAGAUCCCUUUUCACUUUCUUACUUUAAAAGGGAAAUCCGAAUGCUGCUGCCAUUUGCUCCGUUGGAUGCCGCUGAUAAUUCCUAAAGCUAGGCGAAUAGAUCCAGAGCCAGGUUCCUUGCCACAAGCCCGCCUGGCGCACACCCGAGCUGCCACAGCCUCGACUGAGCUGGGCCGGGAAGCAGCCUGACAGAGGAAAACGAAGGCCUUGAGAAAGAGGCCUGGAACGCUGAGUCCAAAGCCUGGUGUCCUCAGGAAGGUUUUGGGAAACAGCGUCCAACCCCAGCCUGCAGUGCUGUGGUCAGCCCACAGGAGCCAGCCAUGGAUCUGCUCCGGCUGCUCGCGCCCUGCCCGGCACUCAGCAGCAGCCCUGCUAUCAACUGACCAAGCCCGGACUGCGCCGGGGGUUCAUCUGCAAUCCUCACUGAAGAUCCUUGGGCUGAGUGUGGCCCCAUGUUACGGACUAGGAAACUGAGGCUCAGAGAGCUUAGGGUCCACACAGCUUAUUCAUGGUAGAAUCAAGAGUUGAAUCCACAUCUUUGAUUUCUCAGCCUGUGGCCUGCAUUUCUACACUAGGCCAUGAGUGACUCAAGUUCCAGCCCACUCUAUCAGGCUUCUGUGCUCUGCUCCUUGUAUGGAUAGUAUAGUUCAGCUCCAUAAAUAUGCCCUAUGCCUUCCUGCCUUCUGGACUGACUGCUUUACCUUCCCUGCCCCUCAGCUUUCCCUCCAACUUUGCCAUUUUACACUGAUUCUGUCUGCACAAAAACACUCUUCCUACCCCUCUUCCUGGCCCCCUUGGUAUAUAGUUCUCCUUCAUUGUUCUUAAAGUACGUCCCCAGAUCAGCAGCCUCAGCAUGAGCUCCUACGCAGGACCUGCUGAAUCAGACACUCUGGGCACGGAGCCCAAGGAUCUGUUUUAACAAGCCCUCCGGUGAGUCUGAUGCACGACAAGCUUGAGAACCACUGGGCUCCGUCCCGCUUCUCCAGACCCCAACAAGUCUUGGUGACAAUUAAGGGUAAGCUUAGCUCUUGUUGUGGUCUUGAUGAGCUCUCCUCAAUGGGUAUAUUAUGGAGGGAUCCUAAGUGGCUAAUAAGGAAGGGGAUGAAAGUCGGUUUUGGCUUUUGCUGCUGUUCCCAACCCCCUUCUUGCCAUCCUGCUCUGGAGCAGCUGACAAAAGUGACCAUUAUCAUCGUCCUCUCAGAGCCAGCUUUGAUGCCCUCACUUAUUGCCUCCCUGACUCGGAUGAAACCUGAGUGCAGUCUCUGCACAAAAAUCACCCAGGACCAUCAGAAUCCAAUCUCAAAGAACUUCUCCAGAUUUUUGUACCUGAAUUGCCUGUGUGGCUCCCUCCUGGCCUUUUCCCUGAGGGGUCUUAUCAGCCCACAGCCCAAGCCCAUUUGUCC
ensembl:lncRNA